rnacentral:rRNA from 1 species
UAAGCGGAGGAAAAGAAACUAACAAGGAUUCCCCUAGUAACGGCGAGUGAAGCGGGAAAAGCUCAAAUUUGAAAUCUGGCAGCCUCAGGUUGUCCGAGUUGUAAUCUAUAGAAACGUUUUCCGCGCCGGCCCAUGUACAAGUCCCUUGGAACAGGGCGUCAUAGAGGGUGAGAAUCCCGUCCUUGACACGGACCACCGGUGCUUUGUGAUACGUUUUCAACGAGUCGAGUUGUUUGGGAAUGCAGCUCAAAAUGGGUGGUAAAUUCCAUCUAAAGCUAAAUAUUGGCGAGAGACCGAUAGCGAACAAGUACCGUGAGGGAAAGAUGAAAAGCACUUUGGAAAGAGAGUUAAACAGUAUGUGAAAUUGUUGAAAGGGAAACGAUUGAAGUCAGUCGUGUCUAUUGGACUCAGCCGGUUCUGCCGGUGUACUUCCUUUAGAUGGGGUCAACAUCAGUUUUGAUCGCUGGAAAAGGGCGGGAGGAAUGUAGCACUCUCGGGUGAACUUAUAGCCUUCCGUCGUAUACAGUGGUUGGGACUGAGGAACGCAGCAUGCCUUUAUGGCCGGGGUUCGCCCACGUACAUGCUUAGGAUGUUGACAUAAUGGCUUUAAACGACCCGUCUUGAAACACG